UUGAACGCUGGCGGCAGGCCUAACACCUGCAAGUCGAGCGGAUGAAGGGAGCUUGCUCCUGGAUUCAGCGGCGGACGGGUGAGUAAUGCCUAGGAAUCUGCCUGGUAGUGGGGGAUAACGUCCGGAAACGGGCGCUAAUACCGCAUACGUCCUGAGGGAGAAAGUGGGGGAUCUUCGGACCUCACGCUAUCAGAUGAGCCUAGGUCGGAUUAGCUAGUUGGUGGGGUAAAGGCCUACCAAGGCGACGAUCCGUAACUGGUCUGAGAGGAUGAUCAGUCACACUGGAACUGAGACACGGUCCAGACUCCCACGGGAGGCAGCAGUGGGGAAUAUUGGACAAUGGGCGAAAGCCUGAUCCAGCCAUGCCGCGUGUGUGAAGAAGGUCUUCGGAUUGUAAAGCACUUUAAGUUGGGAGGAAGGGCAGUAAGUUAAUACCUUGCUGUUUUGACGUUACCAACAGAAUAAGCACCGGCUAACUUCGUG
rnacentral:rRNA from 1 species